GGUCUCUAGGGGAAAAUUUUGUCUCAUUGUCAAUCAAACCAUAUUUCUUCCUAGUCUUACAUUAGAUCACUUGCUUUGGAGGUUUCUUUUUACGUUUUCCAUGCAGGGUUCAUUUGUAAAUACAAUUUACAAAUAACAGUUAAUGAAUGGUUUAGUGUAUUGGCGUUUUUCUUUCACAAAUACUAUCUUCAUAAGGGACAUACCUCAUUCGUUUUUGAUGUGUUUUGUCAUUUAAUUUCGCCAUGUGAUUAUGGACUUUCCGAUUAGAUUUUCCUUCGCAUUUAGUCUAAAAAAGACUCAGUUACACAAACCAUGAACAUGCACCAUGUGAGACGAACAGAGAUGAAUCAAUGAAUAGACACAUGCGGCUUGUUGCAUUAGCAUAAUAUAAUUAUGCAAUGUUGAAGAAUUUGUAAGUAAGACAAACUAUGAACAUGCACCAUGUGAGAUGAAGAG
rnacentral:lncRNA from 1 species